CGGCGGACGGGUGAGUAAUGUAUGGGGAUCUGCCUGAUGGCGGGGGAUAACUACUGGAAACGGUAGCUAAUACCGCAUAAUGUCUACGGACCAAAGAGGGGGACCUUCGGGCCUCUUGCCAUCGGAUGUGCCCAGAUGGGAUUAGCUAGUAGGUGGGGUAACGGCUUACCUAGGCGACGAUCCCUAGCUGGUCUGAGAGGAUGACCAGCCACACUGGAACUGAGACACGGUCCAG
rnacentral:rRNA from 1 species